UUGGAGGGCAAGUCUGGUGCCAGCAGCCGCGGUAAUUCCAGCUCCAAUAGCGUAUAUUAAAGUUGUUGCAGUUAAAAAGCCCGUAGUUGAACUUCAGGCCUGGCUGGGUGGUCUGCCUAACGGCAUUGUACUGCUCGGCUGGGUCUUACYUCUKGGUGAGCCAGCAUGCCCUUCACUGGGUGUGUUGGGGAACCAGGACUUUUACCUUGAGAAAAUUAGAGUGUUCAAAGCAGGCAUUUGCUCGAAUACAUUAGCAUGGAAUAAUAGAAUAGGACGUGCGGUUCUAUUUUGUUGGUUUCUAGAGUCGCCGUAAUGAUUAAUAGGGAUAGUUGGGGGCAUUAGUAUUCAAUUGUCAGAGGUGAAAUUCUUGGAUUUAUUGAAGACUAACUACUGCGAAAGCAUUUGCCAAGGAUGUUUUCAUKRRUCAAGAACGAAAGUUAGGGGAUCGAAGACGAUCAGAUACCGUCGUAGUCUUAMCCWUAAACWAURCCGACUAGGGAUCGGAUGAUGUUAAUUUUUUAAUGACUCUUCGGCGCCUUACGGGAAAC
rnacentral:rRNA from 1 species